GGAUGAACGCUAGCGGCAGGCUUAACACAUGCAAGUCGAGGGGCAUCGGGAGUAGCAAUACUGCCGGCGACCGGCGCAAGGGUGCGUAACGCGUGAGCAACAUGCCCGUAUCAGGGGGAUAAUCCAUGGAAACGUGGUCUAAUACCCCAUAGUAAUUAUGUAAGGCAUCUUAUAUAAUUUAAAGCUUUGGUGGAUACGGAUUGGCUCGCGUGACAUUAGCUGGAUGGUAAGGUAACGGCUUACCAUGGCUACGAUGUCUAGGGGUUCUGAGAGGAAGGUCCCCCACACUGGAACUGAGACACGGUCCAGACUCCUACGGGAGGCAGCAGUGAGGAAUAUUGGACAAUGGAUGGAAAUCUGAUCCAGCCAUGCCGCGUGCAGGAAGACGGCCCUAUGGGUUGUAAACUGCUUUUGUAUGGGAGCAAUAAGGGCUACGUGUAGUCCGAUGAGAGUACCAUACGAAUAAGCACCGGCUAACUCCGUGCCAGCCGCGGC
rnacentral:rRNA from 1 species